rnacentral:rRNA from 1 species
UACAGAGGUCUCAAGCGUUGUUCGGAUUCAUUGGGCGUAAAGGGUGCGUAGGCGGUAGCACAAGUCAGUUGUGAAAUCUCCGGGCUUAACUCGGAAAGGUCAACUGAUACUGUGCGACUAGAGUGCAGAAGGGGCAACUGGAAUUCUCGGUGUAGCGGUGAAAUGCGUAGAUAUCGAGAGGAACACCUGCGGCGAAGGCGGGUAGCUGGGCCGACACUGACGCUGAGGCGCGAAAGCGUGGGGAGCAAACAGG